AGUUGCUAUCUCUAUAAGAUGCUCAUAUGGCCUUGCUUUGGGCCUAGAUGCAUUUGUUAUUAUGGCUAUAGAAAUAUUGCUUCUCAAAACUGUCUUUUACCUAAUUAUAAUAAUGAGCUUGUAUUUUUCCUGACAAACACUGUGUAAAAUGAUGCGGUCAUAACGUGUUAUCUUGUUAACCCUAUAUGCUGUAACUGUCGUCUAUAAGACAUGCCUUUCAUCUUUCAAUAAACAGAAUGUUUUUUUAGACUCAUUGCUGCGUGGUCUGAAGUCUGUUCUCGUGGAUAUCCUGAUCAAAUAAUAUAUUAAUUUCCAGCUGGUACGGCGUGCCUAAGGCCCAGUCAUGACUGACACUCCCCCUCUGAAAACAACAUCUAACAAUUCUGGUGUCAGCUCGUGGGAUUUGCACUGGACUCCUUCUGACUCGAGUGUCUGCUUGCUAUGGGGAUCCACUAGCUUUCCUUGUCUACCACAUGAACAAACCAUCGGACUUCCAGCAUCUACCUGCAGAAGAACACUGGAUAAGCACCCCUAUUGCAAAUGGACUAUGGUAUUGAAGCAGAGUGUCUGAGGAAGGUGGGGCGCUCUAAGAGGACAAAGACUGUUCUUAAAGUGAUCAGAGGCCAUCUAGAGACAUUUGUGCUGUUCCCAUGUCAUGCUUCACUGUGGAGAAUGUACAGAGCAAGAACCUGAUGGAAAUAUUGGGGGGUGCUAGCAAUGCAAGUGGAGAACAUAAAGAUGCAGCAUUGUUUGGGGGAAGAUAGGGGGCUGGUUGGGUCUUUGUGCAGAUAGACCAGUAGUUUGAGGAUGCUGGGAGGUAGAUGGAGAGUAUUGGAGAGGCCACACCUAUGUGCAGUGACAAAUUGUGCCCUAUUGGCCAAUAAAAUUAUACCACUACAUGUGAAUAUCUUUCUCUAUAGUAUUCUCACAUAGAUUUAUGUUAUACCAAAGUAUCAGGCUUAUAUUGUUGUUAAAGGAUUUACUGAUUUUCUGUGCUUUUCAAUUUUUAUGUUAUUCUGUUAGAAUAAAAGAGUGGUAUGUUAGGAAUUGUGAGCAUGACCAGCGCCAUCUUUUCUUAGCUGCCAUUUUGUCUUUGGCAUCCAUCUUGUCUGAGUAACAUUCAUUAUAGCAGCUAUUCUGUAGUGGGAAAGACAUAUUUGUUAUUAGUUUCUUAGAGCUAGUUUGGCCUUGCAGAUGUUCUGGGCAAGGUGCCUGGAAGUUGCUAUCUCUAUAAGAUGUCCAUAUGGCCUCGCUUUGGGCCUAGAUGCAUUUGUUAUUAUGGCUUUAGAAAUAUUGCUUCUCAAAACUGUCUUUUACCUAAUUAUAAUAAUGAGCUUGUAUUUUUCCUGACAUACACUGUGUAAAAUGAUGCGGUCAUAACGUGUCAUCUUGUUAACCCUAUAUGCUGUAACUGUCGUCUAUAAGACAUGCCUUUCAUCUCUCAAUAAACAGAAUGUUUUUUUAAACUCA